rnacentral:ncRNA from 1 species
AAAAAUGCAAUGAAGAGAAGAGUAACUUUGGGAUAAUUUCAUCAAGAGAGCUUCUGGGUGGUGCAAAGAAGUUGAAAGAACCAAAGCGAAGAUCACCUCUGAGUAAUUUGGGAGUGCCCGUUAUAGCACACCGCAUCGCUUAAUUGCCGUGCGGCUUGAGAUACUAUAAAUAUAGUGAAAAUUAGGUGGUACCGCGAACUUUCGCCCUAACA